AUGCAAUGUGCGAUUCUCCUUUGGAUUCCCGCUCAGUUUUCGACGGGCUGAAGAGGAAGAACUUGUUCCAGUGGAAUGCGCUUGUUAGUGGGCAAUGCGUUGAUUGCAAUGUAUGGGAAAUGCGGGUCAGUUGAGGAUGCAGCUAAAGUGUUCGAGAUAAUGCCUGACAAGAAUUGUAAUUUGUUUGAAUUGUAAUUUGCUUUUAUUGAUAAUAAACCUAUUAUGCAACGUUUUUAUAACAUGAAAUAUCGUCGGCAAUAAUUGUAAUUUGUUUGUAUUGAUUAAUUAUGGAAGAUAUUACUAUAUUAAAAAAUUUAAUUGUU